UCAUCACGCUAGGGGUGCCAUUGUGGCUGAGAAAGAGACUUAAGUCUCUUAACCCUUUGAACCUGAUGCGGUUAGUACCGCCGGAGGGAAGCGGAAAAUAUUGUUU
rnacentral:ncRNA from 2 species